rnacentral:lncRNA from 1 species
GAGGAUCAGUAAAAAGUAAAUAAAUAAAUACAAUUUAAAAAGAAAGAGAGUAUGUGAGGACACCAAGGAGUGUGGCUAAUGUGGUUAACCCUGACCCGAGGACAAGAUAGGUUAUUAAUUUUGAUCUCCCAGACUUAGGAUUGCCACGAAAAUACAUAGUUGAGAGGCAGGGGCUAGACAGUGGGGAAUGGAAAGCAAGUGUCUGAUUCCAGAGGAAAGCAGAGAGUUGCCACGGUAGGAGGAGAAAAACUCUCACCUGAGAGAUCAUAGUCCCUGGCUUGGGAAGACCUAAUGCAAGAACCGGGAGAAGAAACCACCAAAAAAUUUGCCUAACCAGCUGACAAGUCACUGCCGUGGGGUGGCUCUGAGCUGUGCUGUGUCUCCCUCCUUCCUUGGCCAUGGCCCCAUCUUCCCCAUGUGGUUGGACAUUCUCACCACUGGGACGUCAGGAGGUAUAGAGUUUAAUUCAGGUUCUUCCACCAACUAGUUCUGUGGCUCCUGUUUAAUCUCCAGAAGCUUCAUCUGAAUAUUCCUUUCAGGGAAAGCACACCAGCUAGAGCCGUGGUGGGGAGAAUGGCUUGAUCUACAUAACCCACUAGGUAUUUUUUCAGAUCUUAAAAGACUGAGAAACUGUCACAGCCAAGAGGAGCCUAAGCAGACAUGACAACUAAGUAGAGUGUGGUAAACUGAAUGGGAUUCUGGGACAGAAAAGAGGCACUGGGGGAAACAGAAAAUCUGAAUGAAGUGCAGA